UACGAAGGGGGCUAGCGUUGCUCGGAAUCACUGGGCGUAAAGCGCACGUAGGCGGACUCUUAAGUCGGUGGUGAAAUCCUGGAGCUCAACUCCAGAACUGCCUUCGAUACUGAGAGUCUCGAGUCCGGGAGAGGUGAGUGGAACUGCGAGUGUAGAGGUGAAAUUCGUAGAUAUUCGGAAGAACACCAGUGGCGAAGGCGGCUCACUGGACCGUUGUUGACGCUGAGGUGCGAAAGCGUGGGGAGCAAACAGG
rnacentral:rRNA from 1 species